CAUUGUGUCCGAGUGUCGUGUUCGGUUGAUUUCUGCUAACGGGGUUCCUCCAGUUUUCAACAACAUGAUUGAACAAGGAUUGUUUCGAAUUUCGAUAUUACAAAUUUUCUGAAAGGAAUCCUGAUGCCACCGAGGGCGGAGAAAUUACAUUUGGUGCAUCAGACCCAAAACCGCUACAAUGGCGAGAUUAGUUGGGUUCCUGUUACCGAGUCAAACAGUACCUUCGCUGUACUCAGUAAUCAGAGAAGCGGCCAAAAUGGUACCCAAUCCUAAUCUCAAGACGGGCAACGCCUACGUAUAUAUAUACACAAGAUUUCUUU